GACGAACGCUGGCGGCGUGCUUAACACAUGCAAGUCGAACGGAAAGGCCUGCUUUCCCUUGUGGAUUGCGGGUACUCGAGUGGCGAACGGGUGAGUAACACGUGAGUGAUCUGCCCCCAACUUGGGUAUAAGCCUGGGAAACUGGGUCUAAUUCCCGAUAGGACUGCAGGGUGGUGCCUGUGGUGGAAAACGAUUUUCUAGUGGUUGGGGAUGAGCUCGCGGCCUAUCAGCUUGUUGGUGGGGUAAUGGCCUACCAAGGCGGCGACGGGUAGCCGGCCUGAGAGGGUGGAUGGCCACAUUGGGACUGAGAUACGGCCCAGACUCCUACGGGAGGCAGCAGUGGGGAAUAUUGCACAAUGGGCGGAAGCCUGAUGCAGCGACGCCGCGUGGGGGAUGACGGCCUUCGGGUUGUAAACUCCUUUCGACCGCGAGGAAGCCACCUGGUUGGAAGGGUGGUGACGGUAGUGGUAGAAGAAGCACCGGCUAACUACGUG
rnacentral:rRNA from 1 species